GUCAACAGACAGAAAGCAUUGUUUCCUUACGCUGCUGAACAGUCUGAGAUUCAACGGAAAUUUGGCACAAGACUAGUCCUGCAGUAUGUAAAUGAACUCUGCAUUUCUUUAGAUUUCCUGAUUUACAUGUGGACUAGAAGUACUGUGAUAAUUUUUAAAAGACUUUCCGUGGAAAAAUUUGUCUAAUUUACAGCGUCAAAGGGAAGUACCAAAUCCUUUAACUGUGUUUGAUCACAAAGAAAUAAGCUGCAUCUGCAAAAAGAGUGCUUUCAACAUUUCUAAUUAAGUAGCUUAGGAGAAAAUAUGCAGCCAUUUUGUUAGUACCACACUUCUUACAUAAAUGGCACUUCAGAUCAGCUGCACGCUUAGUCACACGAGUCUGUGAAUAAUUCAUCAGAGGAGACGCGUCACCCUCGUCAGAAAGAAAAGCUUUGCAGUGGAAGUAACGUUAGCAGUGGUUAUUUCCUUUCCAAAGCCUCAGGAAAGAGGUGAGCCUCUGAAAAGUACUGAAGUGCCACAGGGAAGGUUCUGGAAUCAUCAUGGUAAAAUGGAUUUGAUGUGCAAACAGGACAGUUAUUGUGAAUUGAGUACAUGUACCGCUGGAGAUGUAAUGUCACUUAUUGGCUUAAUCAAGGGCUUUUGAAGAUAUGUGUCCAUUUUUUUCAAACAUUUGUAAUAUUUAUCUUUAUCAACUAUUUCCUCUGUAUAAGGUUUGUGUAAUAUCACAAGGAAAUGCUGUUUGGUUCACAGUUUGUCAGAUUGGCAUUGAAGCUGUCUAUUCAUUUUAAUUGGUAUAUCAUUGACAGGUUGUGAACUAUACCUUCAAGAUCAAUAUUUAUAAUACAAUGGAUAAAAAGAUAUUGUCUAGAAAAAAAGUAUACUUCCUUUUGAAAUGUGCCAGUAGUAAUA